CCUACGGGAGGCAGCAGUGAGGAAUAUUGGUCAAUGGGCGCGAGCCUGAACCAGCCAAGUAGCGUGAAGGACGAAGGCCUAUGGGUCGUAAACUUCUUUUAUAGGGGAAUAUGUACCCUAAGAAUAAGGAUCGGCUAACUCCGUGCCAGCAGCCGCGGUAAUACGGAGGAUCCGAGCGUUAUCCGGAUUUAUUGGGUUUAAAGGGAGCGUAGGUGGAUAUAUAAGUCAGUUGUGAAAGUUUGCGGCUCAACCGUAAAAUUGCAGUUGAUACUGUAUAUCUUGAGUACAGUAGAGGUGGGCGGAAUUCGUGGUGUAGCGGUGAAAUGCUUAGAUAUCACGAAGAACUCCAAUUGCGAAGGCAGCUCACUACGGUCACUGACACUGAGGCUCGAAAGUGUGGGUAUCAAACAGGAUUAGAUACCCUUGUAGUC
rnacentral:rRNA from 1 species